rnacentral:rRNA from 1 species
UACGAAGGGGGCGAGCGUUGUUCGGAUUUACUGGGCGUAAAGGGCGCGCAGGCGGCGCAUUUUGUCAGGCGUGAAAGCCCCCGGGCUUAACCUGGGAACUGCGUUUGAUACGGAUGGGCUAGAGUUCGGGAGAGGAGAGUGGAAUUCCCAGUGUAGAGGUGAAAUUCGUAGAUAUUGGGAAGAACACCGAUGGCGAAGGCAGCCAUCUGGACCGACACUGACGCUGAGGCGCGAAAGCGUGGGGAGCAAACAGG